rnacentral:rRNA from 1 species
UACGAAGGGGGCUAGCGUUGUUCGGAAUUACUGGGCGUAAAGCGCACGUAGGCGGCGAUUUAAGUCAGAGGUGAAAGCCUGGAGCUCAACUCCAGAACUGCCUUUGAGACUGGAUUGCUAGAAUCUUGGAGAGGCGGGUGGAAUUCCGAGUGUAGAGGUGAAAUUCGUAGAUAUUCGGAAGAACACCAGUGGCGAAGGCGGCCCGCUGGACAAGUAUUGACGCUGAGGUGCGAAAGCGUGGGGAGCAAACAGG